CGGGGAGGGGGGCAGAGCAGCCCUGGAGAGACCAGGUGACAGGGCCCGGGAGGAGGGCCGAUCCGCAGGGACUCCGGUGAGCACGGAGCAUGCUGCUUGGCCUUUCAACACAGAAUGUGGCUCAGUUCGAGACAAGUUUCGCGGUCCUCUACCCAUCUUCGAGUGUCCAGGAACAGGGGCGCUCAGUGCGGUGACCCAAGCUGCUGACUGCCUUCACCCAGGGCUGGAAGGGCUGAGUCUGGAGGCCAGGCCAGGCCAGGAGGCAGUCCUUCUUCACCUUUCUAGCAACGCCACGGGCAGCCCUGCUCAGGAACCCUUCACUGCUGUACCAACUGUGAGCAGCAGAGGGCAGCAAAACACACCCAUGCAGACAGAACUCACCUACGGGAUUUCACAUGAGCCACACUUACAGCAACUCUUGGGCACUUGCUUGCCAGUCUCCUGAGUUUUGUGUUGGUAAAUGGUUCCUGCCGGAGCUGCAAUGUACAAACAAGAGGCCAUUCUGGCCUCUUCUCUAGAACUCUCCAGGUGUGGUUGUCUGCCACAUGAGCCUGGAAGUCUUGUCGUGUCUGUACAGAUGAAACCAAGACUCGGGCACAGCAAUUCAACCUAUUUCCUCCUGGGUUUUCGGGAAAUGGUGACCGGGCUCCCACCUGGAAACCUUCCAUAUCAUGAGGGAGACAGGAGAAUCAUGUGAAGGUUCUGGACACAGGCAUGUCUGUGCUCUGGUCUCAGCUUUGUCACUUAGUAGCUGAGAGGUUUUUAGUAAGUUACUUGUGUAUUCCGGUUCUUCGUUCACAAAAUGAGGAUAUACCUACUUCACUGUAUGGCUGGGAUAAUAAUUCAUAUUUAUUAAAACAUUUGUCAUGUGUCAGGUACUAUUUUAAGACUUGGUGAUCUGGUAAAUACAAUUCUUCACACGGGGGUGACAGACAACGGAGGAACAAGGUAGUUUCAGAUAGUGGUGAGUAGUAGAUGGACAGUUAGAAACUGCUAGAGUGGUAGAUGGACAGUUAGAAACUGCUGUGGCGCAGAUGCUUGAGUUGAUGCCUCGGACGAGGGGAGCGGGUCGGGGAGGACGGACAGGCAA